AUGAAGCAAAAACUACAAAACGUGCUAUAGCAAUAAGAGAUGCAAUUAAAGCAAGAGAAAUCGCGGAAAAAGCUAAAGCCUUUGCAGAAAAUGCAGACAAAAUUACAAAUGAAAUAUGGAUAGCAGAAGAAAAAUAUAAUUUAGAAGCCAUACAAAAAGAUAAAAAAGAAGAAGAGACAGUAGAAAAAGCUAAAAUCGUAAACAAAAGUGACACAGAAAAAGCAGAAAAUAUGAUUAAAUUAACUGAUAAGGAUGAUAAAAAUACAAACAUGUCUGAUAUUAAUAUUGCUGAUAAAAAGAAUAUUCAAACAGGUGAUGUAAUAGAAAGCAAAUUAAAUGAUUACGAUAUGUCACAUACAAGAAAUAUACAUUUUCAUGGUAAUUUAGAAAAGCAUAAUGAUAAAUUAAAUGAUUUAAAUGAUCACGAAACAAAAGGUGUUGAUGUAACAGAACUGUCUAUUGAUGAAACAUGCAAACACCAGCGCGCUACAGACUAUUGUAUUAAUUUUAAUAAAAAUGAUUUUUCAAAGAUGUGUGCUAAUCUAAUGAAAAAUGGACUUUGCUGUAAAAUUGCAGAAAAAUGUUUAGUUAACCCUCAAAUUAAGGAUGAAGAAUAUUUGCAGUGUGUUAACCACGAAAUUAAUACGUCGUUACCGAGUUGUUUUAAAAACAGAUCAUUUGGAAGACAAACUUAUUUUGCUGCUGGAGGAGGAAUACUAUUAUUAAUUUUGAUGAUAGUUUUAUACAACACCAAAUCACAGAACAAUACGGAAGAAUCUGACAUUUUCAUUGACGAUAACGAGUUUUACGGACCACAUAAAAUUAAUAUAAUACGUAAUGAUUUUAAGAAUAAUAAUGCA
rnacentral:lncRNA from 1 species